rnacentral:rRNA from 1 species
AUGAACGCUGGCGGCGUGCCUAAUACAUGCAAGUCGAGCGAACAGAUGAGGAGCUUGCUCCUCUGACGUUAGCGGCGGACGGGUGAGUAACACGUGGAUAACCUACCUAUAAGACUGGGAUAACUUCGGGAAACCGGAGCUAAUACCGGAUAAUAUAUUGAACCGCAUGGUUCAAUAGUGAAAGACGGUUUUGCUGUCACUUAUAGAUGGAUCCGCGCCGCAUUAGCUAGUUGGUAAGGUAACGGCUUACCAAGGCGACGAUGCGUAGCCGACCUGAGAGGGUGAUCGGCCACACUGGAACUGAGACACGGUCCAGACUCCUACGGGAGGCAGCAGUAGGGAAUCUUCCGCAAUGGGCGAAAGCCUGACGGAGCAACGCCGCGUGAGUGAUGAAGGUCUUCGGAUCGUAAAACUCUGUUAUUAGGGAAGAACAGAUGUGUAAGUAACUAUGCACGUCUUGACGGUACCUAAUCAGAAAGCCACGGCUAACUACGUG